UUUACAUAUUUGUAUAUUUUAAGCCUACACUGGUCACGGAGUCUGACCAGCAAGUAGCGAAGGUUUGUCAAGGAAAAAUGUCAGAGAUUUUAGGUCCUGUAAGUCACAGAUGCAAUGUGUCCCAGGAGGGACCUGGCAGUGGCACUUCCUCUAACAAUGACAAUUCAGUGUCCUGCCUCUAAAGGGCUUUGAAGAAAGAGGAACCCAUGAAUCAAGAAUAAGAUAAGGCUGUUUGAUUUGUUUCAUCAUGCCUUGAGAAUGAAAUCACUUUCUAUCACCCGGCCUUUCAGAGCAUCAAACACAAACACUCACUGUCUGCUCCUUUAUUUCCUCUGCAUCUGUGGACUUGCUGGAAUUUCUGUGAGCAUCUGGGAAUUACAGAUGAAGCAAAACCCCUUCUGCAGGGGAUUAGGUCUGAGGAAGGUGGGCCUGUUGCUUGCUUGCACAGACUAACACUGAACCUUUGGGGGCUACUUUGACCUUCUUUCUCUGCCUUCCUCCCAGCCCUGACCUAAGACCAAAGGCAGCGCUGGGCCAAGGUGCACACUCUUAAAGUCGACGGCCUGGCCUUCUUCUCCCCCACACUCACCCUAAUUCUACCUACCCUGCCUGUGACACCAAGAUAGAAUGGAAGCAACCUUCUGCAAUCUCCCAGGGCCCCCAUCCACUGUUAUGGGCUGAGUUGUGUCUCCUACUCCCAACCCCAAAUUCAUAUGUUGAAGUCCUGACUCUUGGUACAUUAGAACGAGUGUAUUUUGGAGACAGGGUCUCUCAAGAGGUGAUUGAAUGAAAAUGAGGUCAUUAGGGUUGGCCCAAGUCCAAUAAGACUGGUGUCCUUAUAAGAAGGGAGAGAGGCACCUGGGGCACAUGUUCACAGAGGAAGGACCACGUGUGGACGGACACAGGGCGAAUGUGGCCAUCUGCAAGCCAAAGCGAGAAACCUCCGAAGAAACAACCUGCCCACACAUUGACCUUGGACUUCCAGCCUCCAGAACUGUAAGAAAAUACAUUUCUAUUGUUUGAGCCACACCAUCUGUGGUACUUUGUUAUGGCAGCUUCAGCAAAUUAAUACACCCACCAACAGAAGUUUCGCAGCCUUGAGGUUGGGACCUCAGCCCAGAAAUUCUGAAGGUAAUAAUCAACAACUCAAAAGGCAAGAAAGCCUUAUAAUUCAGUUCCUCUUUCUGCAUCUUUCACAAGCAGUCUGCUGGCAGGUUUGGAAGGUGGCGCUGGAGACAGCCUGGAAUGAGCAAGCCCAGUGGGGUUGGAGGCUCCUGGCUCAGAAGAGGAGGGACUGAGAUUCAGAAGGCUUCACCCGGAUAAGGGAUCCAGCUCACAAGUUCAUCCUUACAAGGAUUUUCAGUUCUGCUAACAGCACCUCUCUCUGUGGUUCUUGAAGGCUCUGGUGUAGGAAGAGGCACCAAAAACAAGCGGACGUUUCUCAGCGCUUCUCAGCUGAUGGAACUGUUCCCAGCAGCCUGGUGCUCAGCCCGAGGAGGUGGCCGGCCCUCAGCUGGGUGAUUCCAUUCCCCAGUCACUGCUUGGUCCAGGCGGCUCUGGCAUCUUUCCUCCCUUCUCCCGGGGCGGCUCCCGGGGCGGCCUCCAGAGCACCCAGACAGCCGCCGCCACAUCCCGCUGCUUCAGAAGCGGAAGUAAGGCGCAUUUAGGACCUUUCUGGGUGAGGCUGCAAAAUGCUGAAGGGGGCACCUCUGUUCCAGAGAAAGGAAAGAAGAAAACUGCGUGACAAAAAUAUGUGGUGGGAAGUAGCACGGGGAAUCUUUGUCGAUUUCCUCUGACCACUUUGAGAAUUGUUUUUCCUUGAAAAGAAGAGAAAAGAAAAGACAACCUACCUAAAAUAUUAAUGCUAUUGUUAGAGUUCUACGAUAAUCUAAAACAGAGUCAUUUUGAAAGAAAAGGUGGCCCACUGUGCUGAAGUCAAGCAGGCCACGCAAAGCUCUGACUUCAAAGCCAUUCCUUGAUAAAACAUCAAAACGGCCCAGGGUGGGCUAGCUGUUAUCUGGAAUUCUACAGAUAAUUCACUGAAACUCGGUGCUCACUAGCCGCAGAGAGUUUCCGCAGCAAGGCCGUUCCCAGGGUCCUGCUUGAUUUUGUUGCCGUGUCUCCUGUGUUUUGUUAGGCAGGGAGAGGGUUGGACCGUCUCUCAAUAAAACUCUGUGUUAGCGCACCGGAGAAACUUGACUCCUGCUUGGCCUCGUAGAGGCCGGAAAUGUGAACUGUGCCCUCCCUGGCCCUGAAGGUGACAUCGUCUUGCUCCUCCUUCUCCACCUGGAAGCACCAGUGACUGCUUUCCCCUGGGCCUUGGUUCGCUUUGGAAGAGCGGUGGCCUGCUUUCCACCAUGAAUAUCAGAAAUAUUGCCUUUUCAACUCUGUGCUGUAAAAUGUGAUGGUACUGCAUCUUCAUGAGGCACAGAGUUCCCCACUUUGGGUUUGCCAGUCCUGUGGGUUCAUUCUGGAGCCCCUCCCUCAUCUCCCAGUCUUCAAACGCCAGCCCAUCUAAUCCCUUUGCUGGAAUCACGCCGAUGGUCUCACCGAUCCUUCCCCCUUGCAUUCUUCCACUUCCCACCUCCAUGCAUUGCCCGAUCAGCAAGCCACAUUUCCCUUUAAAUGUGAAGACUCACCUGAAAGCCCACCACCUCUUCCGAGAAGCCUCCCCUGAUUAAGUGGGGAUGAAGGAGCUUUCGAAGCAUGGCUGACAGACUCCCGAUAAAUGAGAACACACACACACACACACACACACACCCAAAACAAACACAGAAACUCACAAGAAGAGCAAAUUACACAUUCGCCACUUUCGGACAGCACGCUUCUUUGAGGCUUCCUAGAUGCACGUGUGAAGGGGACUGCCACUCGCCGGAUACGGAUGGCACGAAUGACACCGAAGGAAGUGUGUCCUGGCAGUGCUUCCGGGCUGGUGGAUCACACUGCCCAGGAGGACCCUGCAUCUGAGACCAGUAAAUGCCUUAACCACAUAGUGUUCUCGUCAGGGAGCUUUAACGACUCCAUGCCCCCAUCCUUCUUGGGCAAACAUGCUGGGACCAUGGUAAACGUGGAUAAAGGAGCAAAACACUCUAGAGAAGGCCCUGCGGAGAGAACGGAGGGCAAGCUUCCUGGCAAGUCUCCACGUUCAGCCUCAACUAAGGCUGCUGGAGGGCAAGGGGAUCUGUAGGGAGCCCUGGAUCGGAGGCAAUCACAUCAGAAGUAGAAGCAGACAUGUUCGAUCUCCAGAAGACCGCCCUCCGGGGCCAGAGUUAAUGCCCCCUGUGGAGGCCUGGGAGACUCAUGGCAUCAAAUGACCAGAACGAGGAGAACACAGACGGAAUGGUGAUAGCUGGCAAUUAGAACAUGGCACCAAACACCACUGCCACAGACGCUUUCUAGCUACAAAGCCACGCUAG